rnacentral:snoRNA from 1 species
UCGUCAGUGAGGUCGAUCCUUACCUGUUCCUCCUCAGGGAGAAACAGUACGUGAUGAAUGGAGGAGACUGAUGUGUGAUUACAGCAGCUCCGCAUCUUCCGAGCGACAACACAACUCGGGAGGUGAAAUUCUGAA